UGGGGAAUAUUGCACAAUGGGCGCAAGCCUGAUGCAGCCAUGCCGCGUGUGUGAAGAAGGCCUUCGGGUUGUAAAGCACUUUCAGCGAGGAGGAAGGUGGUGAGCUUAAUACGCUCAUCAAUUGACGUUACUCGCAGAAGAAGCACCGGCUAACUCCGUGCCAGCAGCCGCGGUAAUACGGAGGGUGCAAGCGUUAAUCGGAAUUACUGGGCGUAAAGCGCACGCAGGCGGUUUGUUAAGUCAGAUGUGAAAUCCCCGGGCUCAACCUGGGAACUGCAUUUGAAACUGGCAAGCUAGAGUCUCGUAGAGGGGGGUAGAAUUCCAGGUGUAGCGGUGAAAUGCGUAGAGAUCUGGAGGAAUACCGGUGGCGAAGGCGGCCCCCCUGGACGAAGACUGACGCUCAGGUGCGAAAGCGUGGGGAGCAAAACAGGAUUAGAUACCCCUGGUAGUCCACGCUGUAAAACGAUGUCGAUUUUGGAGGUUGUGCCCUUGAGGCGUGGCUUCCGGAGCUAACGNGUUAAAUCGACCGCCUGGGGGAGUACGGCC
rnacentral:rRNA from 1 species